UACGUAGGGGGCAAGCGUUGUCCGGAUUUAUUGGGCGUAAAGCGCUCGCAGGUGGUUCGUCGCGUCGUGCGUGAAAGACCCCGGCUCAACUGGGGGAGGUCGUGCGAUACGGGCGGACUGGAGGCCAGUAGGGGGAUGCGGAAUUCCGGGUGUAGUGGUGGAAUGCGUAGAGAUCCGGAGGAACACCAGCGGCGAAGGCGGCAUCUGGACUGGUCCUGACACUCAGGAGCGAAAGCGUGGGGAGCGAGCCGG
rnacentral:rRNA from 1 species